UACGAAGGGGGCUAGCGUUGCUCGGAAUCACUGGGCGUAAAGGGUGCGUAGGCGGGUCUUAAGUCAGGGGUGAAAUCCUGGAGCUCAACUCCAGAACUGCCUUUGAUACUGAAGAUCUUGAGUUCGGGAGAGGUGAGUGGAACUGCGAGUGUAGAGGUGAAAUCGUAGAUAUUCGCAAGAACACCAGUGGCGAAGGCGGCUCACUGGCCCGAUACUGACGCUGAGGUGCGAAAGCGUGGGGAGCAAACAGG
rnacentral:rRNA from 1 species